rnacentral:rRNA from 1 species
ACGAACGCUGGCGGCGUGCUUAAGACAUGCAAGUCGAGCGGGGGGACCCAGAGCAGCUUGCUGUGAGGGUUCCCUAGCGGCGGACGGGUGAGUAACGCGUGGGCAACCUACCCGCGAAUCGGGGACAACAGUGGGAAACCGCUGCUAAUACCGGAUGAGCUUUUCUGACCGCAUGGUCGGGGAAGGAAAAGGCAGCCUCUGCAUAGCAAGCUGUCGUUCGCGGAUGGGCCCGCGUCCCAUUAGCUAGUUGGUGGAGGUAACGGCCCACCAAGGCGACGAUGGGUAGCCG